AUGUCGAUCGUGGGCGACGUGAGGAGGGACAAGGCAGAGAAAGGGGGUCAGGUUGGCGCCGCAUUAGAGGUGAGCGAGGGGGCCGGGGUUGCAUCGCCGCCGAGAUGCGUGAGGGGAUCGGAGCUGCGCCAAGCGGAUUCAUCAGAGCACUUCGCUCCUGCUGCCUUUGGCCUGAUGCUUAGAUGGAUUGAUUUGUCGGGUCAGGGAUCCUUCAGUUUUGUUGGAUCCGAAGUAAGAGCACCGGGACUUCAAGGACGAUGUAGAUUGUCGAAGGCUAAGUUGCAGAGUGCAUGGGCAGCAGUACCAGAGCAAGAACCUCGCGCGUGA
rnacentral:rRNA from 1 species